GGGGACGCUACGGAUUCGACAGGGGUAGUUCGAGCUUAGGUUGCGAGUCGAGGGGAUCGGCCUCGUUAAAACGUCAAAGCCUAUAACUGGCAAACAACAAAACAAUUUCGCUUUAGCUGCCUAAUAAGCGCUUAGCGGUUCCUCCCUCCAUCGCCCAUGUGGUUGGGUAAGGGACUCAACUUUAGUGGGCUACGCCGGAUUCCGCCGUCUCGAGGAUGAAGGAAGAGAAUAAUCAGACUAGCUAGCCCGGACGCCCGUCGAUAGGCAUAUGGAGCGGCGAAACAGUAAAUAUAUCGACUACACUCGUAGAAGCUUAAGUAACGAUAUCUUUGGACGUGGGUUCGACUCCCACCGUCUCCACCA
rnacentral:tmRNA from 1 species